AAGGAUCAUUAUCGAAUAAAAUUGAACAGGUUGUUGCUGGCCUCUGGGCAUGUGCACGCUUGUCCAAUCUUUAUCAUUUCUCCAACCUGUGCACUUAUUUGUAGACCUUUAGAUUUUGGGACUGCUGUGCUUUUUAUCAGUCGGCUUUCCCUUUGUUUUUUUAAUGUCUAUAUGAUUUUUCACAAUCUCAUAAAUGUCGAAUGUAUGUUAAAUGAAACAAAUAUAUACAACUUUCAGCAACGGAUCUCUUGGCUCUC
rnacentral:misc_RNA from 1 species